CGAAGAUAGAUCGCGCUGUUAAGAUUUUUCCACGAACUACCUGGUCAUUUGGGCGAUACACUGGUUAGGUAAGGUUUUGAGUUAGGUUAGGUUUUGAGUUAGGUUAGGUUUUGAGUUAGGUUAGGUUUUGAGUUAGGUUAGGUUUUGAGUUAGGUUAGGUUUUGAGUUAGGUUAGGUUUUGAGUUAGGUUAGGUUUUGAGUUAGGUUAGGUUUUGAGUUAGGUUAGGUUUUGAGUUAGGUUAGGUUUUGAGUUAGGUUAGGUUUUGAGUUAGGUUAGGUUUUGAGUUAGGUUGGGGCGCUAGGUCGGGUAACCUCCACGAGGGUCUGGGCCAUUCCAAUUUCUGUUAAUCCUUGCGGAUUCGCAGUCAAGGGAAUGGUUUAUGGCUGGUGCGCCCUGGGGGCAACGGUAAGUGAUCUCCUGCGUGGGAUUGCUUACUGGUGCUGCCAAUAACCCGACACCCGGGGUUUAGCCCGGGGGGGGGGGGAGGGCGUUCUUGGAGUGUCUCUGUGAUCUCCUAGGCUAUACCGGACAGGGCUACCCAUACCGGGCAGGCGAAGAGUGAGGG